rnacentral:rRNA from 1 species
CGUGUAGGCGGUCUUUUAAGUUGGUUGUGAAAUCUCUCGGCUCAACCAGGAGGCGUCGACCAAUACUGGGAGACUUGAGGGCAGCAGAGGAAAGUGGAAUUCCCGGUGUAGCGGUGGAAUGCGUAGAUAUCGGGAGGAACACCAGUGGCGAAGGCGGCUUUCUGGACCGAUACUGACGCUGAGAUGCGAAAGCGUGGGGAGCAAACA